GGCAGUGUUUUGACGACUGCCUCACUAAAGGAAGCUAAAAGCUGUGCUGAUGCCUCCCAGACGAGCCUCGUUGGAAGCACAGAACCUUCACGGCUCGGAGCCGCUGACACCGUGACAAAGGGAGCCCUGCUCAGUAAUUAAAUCUUGAGGACCUGGAGAUUUUGGAUUCCAGUGGAGGAAUGCAGCGCUGAACACUGGUCCCCGAGUCUGCACCCUUGCGCUGGGAGAUGUCUUUAGUCACACAUGGUUUCCCAGCUCUUCUCCAGUAAUGCUGCCAUUUCCACUGCAGACCACAGGAUAAAAGGACCGCUUCACCGUGGCCCAGGAUACCCUUUUAAGUAGGAGAGGAUUAUUGGCAACUGGCACCACCCCCAUGUCUGGAGGAGGGACGUUUCUAGGAUGACCCCCAGAGUGGAGAAAUAGCCGAGCUCAUGAGGCAACCCACACAGGCAGGCUGGAGAGGAGUGGCAAGAAGCUCACCUUCGGACAGUAGUGAGCAGAGCAACAGAGGCCCCCAGAGACUUCGCACAACGGAAAAGAGAUCAACUCCCGCAUUUGCAGGGGACGUGAAAGUGCAAUACUGUGAGGAACAAAAGGAAGCCUCAUCUCUGGAAGCCGGGAGGAAAAACAGUCGGUGUAGACAGCAGCGGCAGGGACCAGAGCUGACCAGAAGGCUGGGUCCCAGCAACAAUUAGAGACAGGCAGCAGCUGAGGCCCCUUCUCUGAGAACCAUUUCAAUUGCACAGUGGCCACAGAAGGCUCCAUUGGCCCGGCAGCCAGCUCUGCAGAGCCAUUUGUCCACAAGGAAAAUAAUAGCCCCGGCCUCAUUGCUUUGGGCUGCAGGGAGGACAAUGACCCACCAUGAAAAGAGUUAAAAAGAUUCUGGGGAAGGGGAAAGGCAGGCCCACACGGUGGCAAUUCAAGAUCUUUUGGAUGCCGUGAGCGUGUUCUUUAAUUAAGCCCCUCUUCUUCAGCUCAUCCUGCAGAAACGCACCUGCUUCCCAUCUGCCAUCCAAAACGGCAAGCACAAGAAUGACUUCACACUGUCACUUUCAGAGUUCCGCUGUGGCCCACAGUGAUUUUUCAAGAAAGGCAGCCACAGACUCGCUCGCGCUUUCUCUUUCUCCUUUCCUCUGAAAGACUCUAUAAAAACCACAUUAAAAAGUGUGUGAGCCAAGCAAUUUCAUUUAUCAAAGGAAGAAGGUCAUCCAUAGCAUUCAUUCUAAGAAUAUCAGGCACACGGCCAGCCCUGGACACAAGGCAUGAAGACCAGAGGGCCCUUUAUUGACCUAAUCUCUAUUUUGUCGCCAAACUGCAUCUGUGUCUGAAAGCUGGGACACACAAUAUUUCCCUCUACCAAAAUAAUUUUAUUUUCUGCAGCAGCAUGUAACAAACAAUUAAUGGUGGUAACAUGGGCUUCUGUCAUUUUCU
rnacentral:lncRNA from 1 species